rnacentral:rRNA from 1 species
UACGUAGGGGGCUAGCGUUGUCCGGAAUCAUUGGGCGUAAAGAGCGUGUAGGCGGUCCGGUAAGUCCGCUGUGAAAGUCGGGGGCUCAACCCUCGAAUGCCGGUGGAUACUGUCGGGCUAGAGUGCGGAAGAGGCGAGUGGAAUUCCUGGUGUAGCGGUGAAAUGCGCAGAUAUCAGGAGGAACACCGGUGGCGAAGGCGGGUCUCUGGGCCGAUACUGACGCUGGAGGAGCGAAAAGCGUGGGGGAGC